rfam:Trichobilharzia regenti genome assembly, scaffold: TRE_scaffold0000210
GUACUGCUGAAGAGUCUCAAACUAGGACGAAACAGCUGUCCGGUAC